AACGAACGCUGGCGGCAGGCCUAACACAUGCAAGUCGAGCGAGGACUUCGGUCCUAGCGGCGGACGGGUGAGUAACGCGUGGGAACGUGCCCUUUGCUACGGAAUAGCCCUGGGAAACUGGGAGUAAUACCGUAUGUGCCCUUUGGGGGAAAGAUUUAUCGGCAAAGGAUCGGCCCGCGUUGGACUAGGUAGUUGGUGGGGUAAUGGCCUACCAAGCCGACGAUCCAUAGCUGGUUUGAGAGGAUGAUCAGCCACACUGGGACUGAGACACGGCCCAGACUCCUACGGGAGGCAGCAGUGGGGAAUCUUCGACAAUGGGGGAAACCCUGAUCUAGCCAUGCCGCGUGAUCGAUGAAGGCCUUAGGGUUGUAAAGAUCUUUCAGUGGGGAAGAUAAUGACUGUACCCACAGAAGAAGCCCCGGCUAACUCCGUGCCAGCCGCCGCCGCGGUAA
rnacentral:rRNA from 1 species